UACAGGGGGGGGCAAGCGUUUGUUCGGAAUCACUGGGCGUAAAGCGCACGUAGGCGGAUUUGCCAGUCAGGGGUGAAAAUCCCGGGGCUCAACCUCGGAACUGCCUUUGAUACAGCAAGUCUUGAGUUCGAGAGAGGUGGGUGGAAUUCCUAGUGUAGAGGUGAAAUUCGUAGAUAUUAGGAAGAACACCGGUGGCGAAGGCGGCCCACUGGCUCGACACUGACGCUGAGGUGCGAAAGCGUGGGGAGCAAACAGG
rnacentral:rRNA from 1 species